AGUGGCGAACGGCGGAGUAAUACGUGAGCAACGUGCCCUAAAGACCGGGAUAGUCAGUGGAAACGCUGGGUAAUACCGGAUGUGGAGUCUCACCGGCAUCGGUGAGAUUUCAAAUGGUUUUUCGCUUUAGGAGCGGCUCACGGCCUAUCAGGUAGUUGGUGGGGUGAAGGCCUACCAAGCCGACGACGGGUAGCGGGUCUGAGAGGAUGACCCGCUCGAGUGGGACUGAGACACGGCCCACACACCUACGGGUGGCAGCAGUUGGGAAUCUUGCACAAUGGGGGAAACCCUGAUGCAGCGACGCCGCGUGGAGGAUGACGGGUCUAGGCCUGUAAACUCCUUUUACCAGGAAAGACUUAGGACGGUACCUGGUGAAUAAGCACCGGCUAACUACGUGCCAGCAGCCGCGGUAAGACGUAGGGAGCAAGCGUUGUCCGGAUUUACUGGGCGUAAAGGGCGCGUAGGCGGCUCGUUAAGUGUGAAGUGAAAUCCCCAGGGCUCAACCCGGGAACUGCUUUACA
rnacentral:rRNA from 1 species